GACACAUUUAAUCAUUCAUUAUGAACCAAAAAACAAAACUAGGGUCUCCAAUGAUUCAAAGCUGAAUGAGUAAAGCAUAAGGCCUUACAAAGAAUACAGCAAAAAUGAGUAGAGGAAUUUUCAUGUCACUUUGCAGCACCAAUAUUUUUGGUAAACCACACAAGUCUUGUAACA